rnacentral:rRNA from 1 species
CAAUAGCGUAUAUUAAAGUUGUUGCAGUUAAAAAGCUCGUAGUUGGAUUUCUGGUAGGAGUGACCGUGCCAGACUUGAUUGUCUGUGUAUUGUGUUGUCUCAAGCCAUCCUUGUGGAGAACUUUUCUUGCAUUAAUUUGUAGGGAUUGGGACCCGCAUCGUUUACUGUGAAAAAAUUAGAGUGUUUAAAGCAGGCAAUCGCUUGAAUACAUUAGCAUGGAAUAAUAAGAUAGGACUUUGGUACUAUUUUGUUGGUUUGUAUACCAAAUUAAUGAUCAACAGGAACAGUUUGAGGAUAUUCGUAUGAACAUGUCAGAGGUGAAAUUCUUGGAUUUUGAUCAGACGAACUACUGCGAAAGCAUUUAUCAAGGAUGUUUUCAUUAA